rnacentral:rRNA from 1 species
AUUGAACGCUGGCGGCAGGCUUAACACAUGCAAGUCGAGCGGGGUGAUGGUGCUUGCACUAUCACUUAGCGGCGGACGGGUGAGUAAUGCUUAGGAAUCUGCCUAUUAGUGGGGGACAACAUCUCGAAAGGGAUGCUAAUACCGCAUACGUCCUACGGGAGAAAGCAGGGGAUCACUUGUGACCUUGCGCUAAUAGAUGAGCCUAAGUCGGAUUAGCUAGUUGGUGGGGUAAAGGCCUACCAAGGCGACGAUCUGUAGCGGGUCUGAGAGGAUGAUCCCGCACACUGGGACUGGGACAAGGCCCAGACUCCUACGGGAUGCAGCAGUGGGGAAUAUUGGACAAUGGGGGGAACCCUGAUCCAGCCAUGCCGCGUGUGUGAAGAAGGCCUUAUGGUUGUAAAGCACUUUAAGCGAGGAGGAGGCUCUUUUGGUUAAUACCCAAGAUGAGUGGACGUUACUCGCAGAAUAAGCACCGGCUAACUCUGUGCCAGCAGCCGCAGUAA